GACGAACGCUGGCGGCGUGCUUAACACAUGCAAGUCGAACGGAAAGGCCCUGCUUUUGUGGGGUGCUCGAGUGGCGAACGGGUGAGUAACACGUGAGUAACCUGCCCUUGACUUUGGGAUAACUUCAGGAAACUGGGGCUAAUACCGGAUAGGAGCUCCUGCUGCAUGGUGGGGGUUGGAAAGUUUCGGCGGUUGGGGAUGGACUCGCGGCUUAUCAGCUUGUUGGUGGGGUAGUGGCUUACCAAGGCUUUGACGGGUAGCCGGCCUGGGAGGGUGACCGGCCACAUUGGGACUGAGAUACGGACCAGACUCCUACGGGAGGCAGCAGUGGGGAAUAUUGCACAAUGGGCGGAAGCCUGAUGCAGCAACGCCGCGUGCGUGAUGACGGCCUUCGGGUGGUAAACCGCUUUCGCAUGUGACGAAGCGUGAGUGACGGUAAUGGGUAAAGAAGCACCGGCUAACUACGUG
rnacentral:rRNA from 1 species